UACGAAGGGUGCAAGCGUUAAUCGGAAUUACUGGGCGUAAAGGGUGCGUAGGCGGUUCGUUAAGUCUGAUGUGAAAGCCCUGGGCUCAACCUGGGAAUUGCAUUGGAUACUGGCAGGCUAGAGUGCGGUAGAGGAUGGCGGAAUUCCCGGUGUAGCAGUGAAAUGCGUAGAGAUCGGGAGGAACAUCUGUGGCGAAGGCGGCCAUCUGGACCAGCACUGACACUGAGGCACGAAAGCGUGGGGAGCAAACAGG
rnacentral:rRNA from 1 species